GUAAUAGACAAUUAAUAUAUUAUUGUAUUCCUUUGAUGUAUAGAUACUUAAUCAUGAGGUUAUUUUUACUGUUCGUCCUCGCUCUCAUCUGUGUGGUCGGUGCUAAUGCAUUUACUGUACCUGAUAAAGAAAUCGUCGACCAACCUAUAAAGGCUAAAGAUGAACACAUAGAAGUCAACUAUAGAGUGAAACGGGACAGGCUUUUUUGCAAAACGCAUAAGGAGUGUAACAGUUUCUGCAGAGACGUCGUUGGACAUAGGAAGGGGACAUGCCAUCUCAUUUGCUUUUGUUAUUAACCAAAUAUAAUCGAUAUUCAACAAUAAAGGCAGAAAACGGAACGUUUGUAGUGACAACUGACAGCAAAUGUCAGCUUUGACAACUUUAUAAAUAUACCCGGCUUUUGCGGCUUUUUCCGAUAACCGCAAAAUAGACACUACGUUUUCACAAUUAGCAGUUUUUAAAAAGUAAAACCUGUGUUUUUCAUUGAGCCUGGCCUUUACAAUGAUACUCUUUUUACUACACUGUUGAUUGGAAUUUUCUGAAUAAAUGUAUACUUAAACUAAUUAGGUAGGUACUUUCAGUCUUUUCAUGGCUUAUCAUUUAGGGAUAAGAUUAUAGCUAAUUCGUUUUGCUAGUAGUUCUGUCCAUAUCUGGGCAACUGAUCGAAGUAUAAAGUAAGUACAAAUAUAAUCGACACCCCGUAGUUUCAUCCGCGUAGUUCUGGUUUCCAUGUAAAUUUCUAGUAAUAAAAAAAAAAUCGGCGCAGUAGAUCCAAAUAUUACACCCUAUAAUACCACAAACUUUACUGCUUUUAAUAUUAGUAUAGAUAAAAGCGAAAGGACAAUCUCGAAAACCGCACAAAGUUGAAAUUUGUCAGGGAAGUAGUUAGUAUGCGUCCGCUAUGAACAGAUUUUGCCAGAGGGCCAGAUUCAGGAAGUCUAAGGGCAGACAAAGUCACGGUUAUCCACUAGUAAAUAGAUUAAGCAUAGCCGUUUCAUUUCCCGUUUACGGGUGUAACCUUAGUGAAAGUGAUGUAAGCGAGUGAACAGGUGUAAGGUGAUAAUGACUAAACAGCGUUUGCAUUAGUAAUGAGGCUGAGUGGAGGGAUGAAGGGGUGGUGACGUCACACGGCUUAACAUAUCCUUCUACUAAUGUUUCUCCGCGGCUUCGUUUGCGUCUAUUGUCUUUGUGCCCCUCUGGAACGGUAUUCUUAUUAUUUUUAGUACCAUAUGUACUUAUGUUUAUGUACCUAGACAUUGUAUUGUCGCUUCUAUUACGUGUUAUGGUCGUUUGUUUAAGAGCGAACGUUUUACAACUGUAUAUAACACUUAAUACACAAUUACCAGUAUA
rnacentral:lncRNA from 1 species